rnacentral:lncRNA from 1 species
AUCUGUUAGCAGAGCUCUUCCCAGCUCUGUUUCAACCUUUUUCUGUCAUUAAAUUUCCACUGUGUCCCUUGCAAAGAAAUCAAAGUUCAAUUAUUUUUUGUUUCUAGUUUUAGUAAUUAUAGUACAAUAAUUCCUGUACUAUAACUGGAAAACUAAUAUGUUUAUAUUCACUUUGAUUGAUUUAUACUUAUAUCUACAAUUAUUCAUGUGUGUGUUAUCAUUGCUUCUUUCUCUUCCUCCCUUUCUGAUAAUCUAUCAGAUUAACAGAUUUUAAUUAAUUUAUCUUUCCCUUCCAUAUUCACUUGCGGUAAAUGAAUUCACUAUUUCAAAAUGCUUCCAGCAGUGACAUUGCAUUGUUAAAUUGCUCUCUUGGCACAAGGUCUAAAGUUAUAACAUUUCUCCUCCCAUUUUCAUUCCUAUAGUUUUCUAGGACUCUAGCACACAUUGUUAUUAACAUUAUAUCCAAAUUAAAACACUUUUAUUGUUUAACCAUUUAUAUUUGGAUUCAUUAAUAUAUUCACCUACAUAUUUGAACUGAAUUUUUUCUUCCAUCUAACUUGCUUGUUACAGAUUCAAUUUAUUUCUUACCAAACUACAACUUUGGUAUUUUUUUUUAAUAGAGUUCUAUCAAUGAAAAAUUUAGAAUUUUUUUCUUGUCUUCAUUUCAAUUUCCUAUUGAAUGAUAUUAAACUGCAUAUAUAAUUUUAUAAUAUUUAUUUCCCAUUAGUACUUUGACAUUAAUAUUUCAUUAACUUCUAGUUGAAUUCAGCUAUUAGGCAAAUUAACUUUUUUGUAGGUAAAAGAUCUUUUUUCUGGUUUCUUUUAAAAUGUUCUUUUCAUUUUGAUUUCAUUUUGUAAGGUGUUUGUGGUAUCAGUUAUUCAGCUUAGAAUCAUAUGUAGUUAUUGUCAGUCAAGAAUAUAUGCCUUUCUUUAAACAACUUCAGAAAAUCAUUGGUUAUUUUCUUUUUUCUUUAUUGUCUCUUUUUUAUUUUGUUUCACUGGAUAGCCUAUCAACACACAGAUUGUAUCAUUGUUUCAUUUUUAUAGAUUUUGUAAAUUUUUCUUAUAAUUUUCUCAUGUGCACCUUCCAACACACUAAUAAUUCUUCCUUCAAAACUGUCAAAUGUGCCUAUUAAUUUACAUCUCUACCAUAUUUUUCAUUUGUAAUUAUAUCUGAUUAGUUUCUAAUUCUCUAAUUAAUUUUCAUUCCCUCUUCUGUUAACAUACUCUAGUUCUUCUCUACCACUUGCAAAA